CUAGAACUAAGUUUGGUCAAACUUUGCCACAAAGUCAAAAGCAAAUGCAGUUCUUGGGUUCCUGAAAUUUAAAAGUUUCAUGGCAGAUGGUGAUGUCCCAUGGUGUGAAGAAGAAACUUUUGAUGAUAAGAAAUUGAGCGCAUCAUCCGACUUACAGAGAGAAUGGGAAAGGAGGCACGGUCAUUUUCAUACUAUAUGGGAUAAUGGCAGGAAAAGAAGCCUCAGCACAAGACGGUUUUAAUGCUGGCUUUAAGCAAUCUGUGCUUGUGGGGUACAAUUGGGGACUUGUGAGAGGAAUUACAAGCACUCUAGCUUGUCUUCCUGAUGACUGAAGAGAAACUAUGGUUGGGACAUUGGAGAAGAGAAAUAGACUUCAAGAGUUAUAUGAGAAUGUGAAGUCCAUAUCAACUAAAGAUGCCCUGAAAUUAUUCCAUAAUGUUUUUGUCAACACUGAAUCAGAGAACUGUGCUACAAAUUUGGAGGAGAAAAUGCAAGCAAUGUCUCUCUUGACUGAUGUCUUUGGUUCAAACAAGCUCGAGGACUUUUCCCAAAAAUUGGACACCAUUCUUCGUGAGUCACCCAUUCCUGAAGUGAACACAUUACUGAACUCAAAAGUGGCUUAAUAAGCCUUCUUAAAAAUUGAUGGCUUUCUAAUGCGAAUAACUGGGUCUCCAUUACUUUGUUGUAUUAUAUUAUGUUGUUCAUUCCAUUUAUGAACUUCAGUUGUUACAGAGUACUGGUUCAAUGUAAUUUAUGAUUAUUUUAAGGGCUUCUUUGUAUUUGUGAGUCUUUUUAUGGAAGUCAUGAAUUAUGUCUGUAUUCUCUUAUAGAUUUGACUGCACUAUGCAUAAGAAUUGUUCUAUUCA